AUAAAAGAAACGUGUCUUUCUAUAUUCUUUAUCGUGUGCGACAUUCGCUCCGCAUCAGUAGGAGGCGCUGCUACAGCGAAAAUAAACACUGACGCCGUCACUACAACGUGAAGAACACAAUUCGCGCAAUUUUUGUACGGUAAACGAAAGCCUUUUACAGUCCACAUAGUUGAGCUUUGGCUUAUUUAUCUACUGAAAAUGGAUGAGGACAUCGCCGCAGACUGCGAGAAAUAAAUCACUAAACAGACAAUAGCAGCUAUUGCAGAGACUGCGUUCAGGCAGUGCGAUAUGUUUGCCAAGGACUUGGGAGGGUUUGCGAGCAUGCUAAAAGACACACAGUUACAGUGGAUGAUGUAAAGCUGACAGCGAGGAGAACCACUGCACUGUACAACUACAUUCAGCAGAAAAGCGAAGAACUGGCAUUGAACAACCAAGAACUGAAGGAAAAGAGCAAGAGGAAUGCUGCCAAGAGGAAGAGUAAAGACAUGGAAGCCGAGGAGAAUGAGCUUGAAGACUGAACAAAAUAAAUGAACAAAUCCUCAUUGUUCACAUUUGGAGUUGUACAAAGUUUUUUUUAAUAUAGUAAUAAAACAGCUUAUGCAAAUAUUUGUACAUAAAUCAUUCAAUACUAAACACCAAUCUUUUUUUUUUUUUUCACUCAAACAUGUCCUAAUUUUUUUAUUGUAAAAGAAGCCUGUAAAUAUCUCUUCAUUGGGAAUAUGAAGCUCUAUGAAACAAUAUAGAUUGUAUAAAAUAUUUUAAAUCACACAUUUUAGAAACAUGGACAUGGCUUGCAUUUUAUACAAUGCGCUGCUUUCUCAAAAUCAGAUCAAGCCUAAUACCAUCUCAGCUCGGGAGGUUUUCAGCAGAAAAUACAGACUGAAAUGUAUUAGACUAAAAUGGUUUUGAGAAAAGUGCUCAUCCUGAAACAUCAAUCAAAUUCUGCUAGAGUCUACCGUGUCCAUGGCUGUUACCAGAGAUGCAGAACCACAGCAUCCUCAAUGUUAUUCCAUCCCCAAACGGACUUCCCGCCUGGGUUUCAGUUGCGGCCAGCCAUAUUCCAGGCCCCUAAACGUGUGAAUUCAAUUAGUUGUGGGGCAUUUACUCUCAAACAUCACGUGACAAACCAGUAUGAGAAAACGGCAAUCUAUUCAAAUAAGUUUUAUUGAAGCACUCCCUUCAUUUGACAAGUCAUAUAAAAUGCCUUUGAAAACACUGAGCGACGUUAUCUAGAGGAAAACUCCACAGACAUCCACAGCACUCAAAACAUACAGGUCACACUUACACCAUCACUCAUGUUUUCCCCCUCAGUUUCCACUGAAGAUGUCAUCCACAUCAGUUCACACUUACAGGUCAAGUUACAAGGAAAUAAAGCACACACACCAUACAGCAUUCAGAUGGGAUUAUAAGAAGCAAGACAAAGUAUGCAUCAUCAUCAUCAUCACAACAUUCCUAUAUAAGCACAUUGUCAGUAUACUAAAGGAGAAAAGCAAAACGGGGGAUCUAGGGAGACCAAAAAAAACAAAAACAAAAAAAUCCAUGAAGUACACAAACUAUAUGUCCAUCAAUUUGGGCUCAAUUAAGGGGAAAGCUGGGAAGUAUCAGCAGCUCUCAUUCACACGCUCACCAAACCCACCCAAUGCAGUCACAUUUCGGCUCGUUCAUUGCACUCGCAAGUCUUUUCGUUCGUGCGCUCCACACUUUCUUCGCUCACUCGCAGCCUUCUCACUCUUCGCCAUCACCAAUCGCACUCAAGGGUUGUUUU